GGAUGCUUGGCCCAGUGUUAAUUGAAUUGAAUUAGUUCCUCUGCUAUGCAACGUGGACAACUUUUCGAAUGUAUACUUCUGAUUUACUCUUGCUUCUGUUGCUCUAACAAAGUGGAUGUUGGCUUUCCAACACAUCUCUUUCCACGCAAUGAAAGUAACGUCUUAUCCCACAAAUAGGAUUUCUUUCAAACUUCAGUUCUCGUAUCAUCAUCAUGAGCAUUUUACGCACGUCAAAUCUUUCCAGUCGUGUUGUUCGUCUUUUGGACUAGUGCUUCUGAUCCAAGUUAACCCACUCAUGCUGUCUUCACAGUCUGUGAGGUCAUGCGUUUAUUGUUGUGUUGCUUUGGCAAAUCAUCUAUCACGGGCCUGCAUUUUGAUGCUAUACUUGUUUACCAGCGAAAAUUCAGCUUCAAAGGAGUUUUGUGAAACCAUAACGCACAGAGCAGGCCUCAAACUACAGGCCUGUUGUGCACUAGGAAUAUCUUUAUGUGUUUAAUAAUGAUGUUUUGUUGUGAGAACUUUGUCGCACUCAUCAGAGAUGCGUUUUUUGAUUCAGGGUUGUUGUUCUUUUUUUUAAAAAAAAGAGAGAGAGAGAGAAGAAGAAGAAGAAAAGAAAAAGAAAAAAGAAAUCAUCCGCAACCUUUGAAAUUUACUUCCUCUUCGCCGAACUCUGCAGCGUUUUACUUAUAUCGUGCCAUCCACUUUAUCACAGCCUCUCGCGUUGUCAGGUUAACGUAUUUUCAAGGACAUUGGGAAUUUGAAGGCAGCGGUUGAUUUGGGGUUUGAUGCAAAAAUGAACCAAGCGGACUGUCUCAAGCAUAUGCUGCUAUGGUCGUCAAGCUGGAGGAAGAGAAGGGCGUCUUGAUGGUGACUUCACUGACACCAACAACUUCCUGACGCAACGCUACUGUAACAGCGGCGGGGAAAACAGCUCACCUUUUCAUCCGAUGAACCAACAUGAUCCUAUUUCUGCAUAGUAAGCCGUCUCAGCUGCUUUUCUCCUCUCCGUUCCAGGAACAGCGGCGGGUUCGUUGCACCAAAGAAUAGUCUGCUUAUGCUUAUAUUUUUCAUAUCAUAGAAAGUGCCAUCCGUUACGCCGUACUUGUUGCAUAGCUUUGCGAUCCCCUUUGUUGUUGGACAACGGGAAAUCGGAUUACCUGGGUUUCAAGUGUGCCCCCAAAUUAUUCUUCAAUCUUUUCUGUUGGCGCGGAGAAAGUGAACUUUUCUACAAAUCUAUGACAGAAAAUAACACAUCGAGGGAGAGCAAAUGGUGGAUGGGAUUAUUGCUCAAAUACAGUCCAGCUUUUACACUGAAGGAAAGCUGAAUGCGUUUGACAGCACAGGUUUUUUUUUUUCUUUCUUUCUUUGAGUGGUAGAAAACUGGAGGACUCCUACUCCUUACUGUGGGGGGUAACGCGUUACUGAGCAACGCGUUACCGCCCUGCACUGUCCGGAAACUAGUUUGAAGUUGAAAAGGCGUGUAGGCUGCACGCGUUCUGCUUUUGAAGACCGUGGCUCGGCGAAGUAACAAAGAGAAAGCCCGUCUCUGCUGUGCGGCUCUGUGCAGGAACUCAAUUUACCGAGACGCACUGUAUGCAAAUGCACCCGUUCCUCUACACGCGCACGGGCGCACCGACCUGUAGUAGCCUGAUCUUGGACAGCCUAUCGGACCCGGGCACCGUGUGCCGUGUAGCCUUGUCUGCUUCACUUUGAAGAGAUGCUGGUCGUCCCGGACACGUGAGCUGAGCUGUUGAGAAGACUUUGUGGCGGAUUUGGAUGAGGGUUUUUUUUUUUUUCUCUGUGCGUUAAUGGCCAGGCGUGCGAACUAUGGUGCGCUCAGAUGUGUGCGUAUGUGUGUGUGUGUGUGUGUGUGUGUGUGUGUGGGUUUUUUUUUUUCUUUCUCUCCCUCGGUCGCUCUGUGUAUCCACCGCUCCGCCUCCUCCCCCCUUUUCGCAACAUUGACGCAACCAAAAAUACUGGAACAAAAGAAACAACUUCCUUGAAGCUUUGCUGAAACUGCACUUAGACGGUGAAUAGAAGGUUGUUGUCAACUUGCCUGGAUGAAAAUGUCGAUGUGAGGGUGUCACCAGUGGCCGGCUGGCAACGAGAGAGAUGCAGUCGAGCCCUCUGAAACGCGCCCAGGCUUAUCCAGUAAGUGCCAUUAAACAUUCAGUGGAGUAAUUUCAACUUUUGCUGUGUGACCUCUCGACUAGUUGAGUUUGCUGUACGCUGUCAGUCAACGCAAAAAUAAAGAGUCGUUUUGGUCGAUUCUCCGCGACGCCGGACACAAAGUAAAGUCUCUCUGAGGUAAUGUUGGCGACCUGACGAGGUAGAGUAUAAGUUAUAUAUUGUGGCAGACGUCGUUGUGCACGAAUGACAAGUUUAUAGCCUUCUCCUUUUCAACAAUCCGGCUCUUAGGAGCCAGUGACAACAAGGCUUUAACUACACUGCUGUCAAUAAAUAAAUAAAUAAAUAAAAAAGAUCCGUCAAAUGUGAACGAGACAUCAGUUUGUUUGAGGCAAAUGUGACGGGGCGACUAUUAGAAAUAGGUUGUGCACUAGCAAGUCUUGAACACGGGCUACCAGUUUAUUAUUGUUAUUCAUGCAGCAGCCUUGAGCUGUCGCCGGUUGCACGAAGAUCCCGGUGAUCUUCAAACAUGUCCACAACGGAGCAGCAGUGCGAGUGUUUUUAUUUAUUAGAUUUGCUGUCACCGUUUCAGAUGAUGUGUCUAACUUUGCUUUUAAAGCUUCGGUCCGCAGUUUGGGGCGGACGAUCACUCCGCUUUGUCGCGUCGCUGUUUUUUACUGCAUGAACAAAGGACUGGAUGGAGUAGUCGGCUCGGCACAGAGCGUCGGUGGAGAGCAGGCGGGCUGUUUACAAUAAUAACACGAUAGCGGUGACGUCACGCAGACUGACAGCAGCCUCGGCCAGUGCGGAGGUCGCGUAGCCAUCAGCAACACGCUAUAUUUGGAAAGCGGUUACAUCAUCGGGAUACAACAGUGGCCCGUGGGGGGAGGGACUUCCGCAGGAAUUCUCGAUUUGUAGUCCAGAAGCAAGACAAUGAAUAGGCCUACAUCAGUUGUGUCUUUGCAGGGGGAAAUCAAAUUAUUUCAGACCUUCUUUGGAUUUCCAUAACCUGCUCACACUCUCAUAUUUCUAAGAUGGUGUGAGAAGUGCCUUAGACAGUCUUUAUGACUGUGGUACUACAAUACCAGUAGGUUCAGGUAACAUAUAAUUGAAUCUCAACAUCUCAAUGGAAAAUGUAAGGAGGCUAUCUCCGAUCGGCAUUCUUCCAGUGUAUCUGCUAAAAUUGUGGGUUUGGGGGAGGCUUGCGAGGCCGAUGUUGACUUUGCAUUGGUGCAUAAUAUUUUCCAGCCUACUUAGUAAUGUUUACUCCCCCAACAUAGUAAGUAAUGGUUCCCUAGUAGUAGUAGUAGUAGUAGUAGUAGUAGUAUUGCUAUGAUACCUGCACCUUUUUUAAGUCAACUUGAAUAUAAGGAUUGCUGCUCUCACACAGCAGCGAAGUGACCACCAGACGUCAAUAAGCAGAUUAACUGCUGCCUGUCCUCAGUCUCCUCAUCCUUAGCUAAAGUGCCUGAGGUGAAAUGGAAGAAAUUUGUUCAAAUUUUGUCAGAUUUUAUAUACAGAUCAGCAUCGGUAAGCCUACACAGCACUCAGAAAGCUGUGGACUCCAAACCGGCUCCAUAGAGCAACUUUGUUGCAAUAACACACAAUCUGCUUUGUGGCGAGCAGCAUCACUGGUUUCCACUUGCUAUACUGUUGUAGGCAGUGGUAGCCUUUGAGUAUUUAAUGUAUUCAAAUGUAAUGUUAGAUGAGUAUUUUCUUUAUUUCAGGCCUCAUUAGUACCAGUGAUACGUUCUCUGAUAUCAUUCAGUCAACCUGAAACCAACAUUUAAUUGAGUUAAGUGUGUCAUACUCAAAUCUAGACACUUUGUUUUUAUAAUAGCACAAAGUCAUGAAUUAGAUGUGAUUGUAUGUCCCUUUAAUGUAAACACUGACAUCAUGUUUAAUGAAUAUUGCCCUUUGAUGAGCUUACAGCAGUUAAGAAAACAAAACAAAAAAAAUGAUUAAAAUCUACACUAAUCUAACUAAACUGACUUAUUUUCAGAGCUAGAAAGCAUCAUGCUACCUAAGGACUGCCGUGACUUCAGUGUGUUUUCCAUAAAACUACAGGCCAGUGUUUUGGCAUCAAAGUAUAGUACAGUAUGUGAGUAGUGUAAAUUCUCGUCUUCCUGGGUAUGGAAAGCAAGAACAGUAUUUGGUAAUGUUCCGAGCACAUUGGGUACUUGAAGAUUAAGUAAUAAAUAAAUAAAGUGCAUUAAAAAACAGAAUGUUCCACCACUGUGUGUAUAUCAUUUUCAAUAUAUUACUGUCAUUCCAGCAUUUACUUGUUUCACAAAUAUACAUCAUGUAAAAUAACAGCUUUUUUCAAAUGUGGUCUUGCAUGUAUCAAAGGUGAAAUGUGUUGGAUAAAUAGGCUUAAUUGAAAUGUUUCUGGACACAGGUAAAAAAAAGUGAGAGAGACAUAAAAGCAACAUCAUCUCAACACUGUGACUUAUACAGUGUGAGCAUAGGAAUAUUUCUCAGUGCCCGUAAAUACAGUUUAUGAAAUCUGUCAGAGGCAGCAGUGGUUUUUAGAUACAUGCCAUUACCUAAACACAGUUAAAUGUCAUAGAUAGCAUCUAGCAGAGAGCUCGCAAUAGACUGUCAAUAAAAGAAGGACUGGCCAGAGGGAUGUUUUUAUUAUGUGAGUCUCCUUUAGUCUUUUGAAUGCCACUAGAGUUCAUAAAUGAUAUUAGACACUCUGUAGUCAUUUUAAAACAGUCUGCUUGGCUUUGUGAAGCUUUCGCAGAGACUUUUUGGUGUAUUUCUUGUUCUAGUGACUCUAACUGUUACAUGAUUUUAAUUUUAAUGUGCUAAUUUGAUUAAGGGGCAUGCAAAUAUGCAUAUAAAAAUGAUUUGUUUACAUUAUUUCUGUAUAGUUUGGGUCUUAGAAGACAGUUAAGAUCUGUGUUGAUCCUGCUGUUCAAACAGUACUUGGCUUUAUCUUUUUUGUCAUCCUUAAAUUUAAUGAUAAAGAACAUAAGUCCAAAUAUAUCGGCAGUCAUCAGCUUGAGGCAAUGACCCAAAAAAAAGAAAACACACCUAAACAAAGUGCUCUUAACACCCAAGGUAACUCUACUGCCCUAAGAUUAACUCUCGCUUGUGUUUAGCCUUCUCUGUUAUCCCUCUCACAAAUCUGCCUCAAAAAUUAAAAAGAAAAAAAAAAAGGUGGUGUGGGGUGUGGACAGUUUAGUUGAGAUUUAAAAAACAAACAAACUACAAGUUCAGGAAGCAGCAUGAAUAAUGUUUUGUUGUCAGAUUUAUAUUUAAACCUACCUUGAAUGGAAAAUGGCUCUCAUUAUGUUACACACCAACGAGGCCACUUUGACUCAGGAUGCAAUAACACAUGUCAGUGCGGUUAUGCUCCAUUUUUUUUAUUUUUCAUCCAUCAGGCAUGGAAUCAUUUGGCCUUUUGGCACAUGACUUCACAUUUAGUCUGGAAAACACAGUAUACUCAUAAUCAACUGGUAUCAACAGCAAAAGUGUCCAAGAACACAAUUUUAGGAUGAAAAUUAGGCGACUUGUGCUGGCUUUGUGACCGAUGGCUCGUUGUUUGCAGACUGCAUGGAAGUCUUUGCUUAUCCUUUGGCUAAUAUAGAGAAUUUCUCUGCUCUAGCCUAGCCUUCUGUGAAAUCCCUUUUUCUACUCUAUCUGCAUUACCACCAGGACAAGUAUAGUUUGUCCCCAUAAUUGUCCUCUGUUAGUGAUGUCGCUUUAGCCUGUCCAAUGAAUUGUGCCCACUUAAUUUGAUUGCUGUGAGAAUGUGUGUAAGCUUAUGGAGAGAACAAGUGAAAAGGGCUUCUUGUGCUGUAACAUCUGAACUUGCUGGCCAAGCAUGUGAUAGUGUUUAGAAGAAUUCUGGCUCUUAGAGUUCAUCUUUUUUUUUUAAAGUGUGUUUUGCGUUCACCUGAGCAAGUUAUCUGUCAAGUGACUUUAUUGAGCGAAAGUUUGUCAUAAAGCAAAAUAAGAAACAUUAUUUACAUGCAAACGAGUUGCAUGCAUGUGUGGAGUGCACGUGUGUGUGUGUGCCCAAUUUUAGAGCACCCAAGGGCUAAUGUGACCACCUUUCAGCCUUUGUGCUAAAAAAAAAAAGGUCAGAGGUCUCUGUUGUGUUUUCAGGAUGACCUGCUAGUGACUAUUAGCCAUUGACAAAUGUGAUGUCCCACAAGUGUGCGGGCCGGACCCCUCCAAAGGGGGAGGUGUCGUAACACGCCCCACACUAACCUCCGAGCCAACCCCACCUCAACUAGUGCAUACACACACACGCUCUGCCCUGCUGACAGGAGCACAAGGGGGCAGCUGCUACAGAUGUCUAGAGGGGGAGGGGAACCAAGGAGACAUCAAUGGAGAGUCUCUCUCUAGUAUGGAGUUUUCUGUGGGGCUCAUUGUGUUCUCUAAAGACCAAGACGAGGGCCAUGUUAAUAUAGUACGCCUAUGAUAUCUUCAACUUCGUUUCAGGCUGCGUUGGUCAUAGGGCUGCCUCGUGCAUAUGCUGCUUUCAGAAGGAACUCUACUUUGAUACAUGCUGCCAAAUCUUCCUAAAUGUUACACAGCUUGAUAUUUACCAAGAAGAGUGGCAGAAUAAGCGGUUCCUCUCCCUAAAAGUGCUGUUUAGUCUCGAGUCUAGGAUGAGGUAAUAUUUCUUUCAUUUUACAGUGUGAAUGGAUCAGACUGUAAUUAAAAAUCACGAUUAUCCAAAUUUCACCACUACAGUGGGAGAAGGGAAAAAAGAAGAAUUCAUUUCACAACCUGCUCAGUUGUGUUGGCUGAUUUAAUCCAGCAGGCAACAAUGUGCCACAGAGAGCUGACAAUGUGCGUACACUCUCCGAUCUGCAAACACCUAAUGCUCCCGAGCGAAGUUAAAUCACCUGCAGUUGCCUUAAGUUGACACAAAUGCUGCAAACUGUGUGUUUUCUGUGGUACAUAGGUGUUUAUUCCUGGUUUAAUACCACCCUUGACCCUCACUCACCCCUUUUGGGUGCUAUUAAUGUGCUUUUUUUGUCUUUUGGGGUUUUUUUUUUAAAAUAAAGAAUGAUGUAUUCAGUCUGCUACUACUGCCUAUUUCCCCACCUUUUCAUAUCACGCAGCCUCAAGUCUGGUGGUGGUGGUUUUGGGGUUGGGCAUCUUUUUGAAGCACAUGAAUCAAGAGAGAGAACCAAAAUAAUGUGUAAAAACCCCUCACUGAGUGGGUAGCGGUUGAGUGUAACAGCCAACCAUGCACACGAGUCAUCUAAACUGAAAUCAAAUUAUGCUGAACUAAAACUACCCCAGCGUAGCAACUUUGCAGCCAGGUUUGCCUGCAGUGGUCAAACACCAUGAUACGUGACACUGUGGCUCUUGUUCGGCGCGUCUACCAGAGGACAAGGGAGAGCUCCACUCUGUCUCAACCCUCCUAAUGAAGAGACGCAUUAUGAUGUGGAUUUCAUUUAGGCCUGCAAAAAAAAAGGGGGAAAGAAAGAAAGAAAAAAAAAAGCUGCCAUGGAUAACGGAGCAGUCUGAGUAGCAUGGUUCGUUUGUGUAGUGACAUGUGACUUGUGUUUUCGUGAGUCAUAAGGAUCUCCUGCCUAAUGGAAGGCAGUGUGUGCUCAUGUGACGGUGACACAAUGCAGGAUGAACUGUAUAGUAUUCACCAGAGCUCAGCUUGGCUACUGUUUUGGCACUGCUAAUAGAGACCCAUGAGGGUCUUGUUAAUUUUUAUCAUAGUGAAACCAAACAAACCACAGUGUCGGUCACUUUAGGGUUUGGGCGAUGAUGAUUGCGUUUUUUUGUUUGUUUGUACACUAAGGAUCAAAGCUGGAAGCACUGCAGAAAUGCAUGCAUGCACUCGUGUGUAUGUUUGUGUGUGUUUGUGUGUGUGUGUGUGUUUGUAAUGUCUAUGAGUACUGCAUCCUAUUCUUCCCAUGGUCAUAGUGGUGUUUUUGCUGGCUCAUCCCUGCCUCUCCACAUGCCUGUUUAACAACACAGAGCUCCUCCUUACUGGCUUCCUGUCCAAACCAGUUUAUCUGUAAACAAGUGUGUUUUUUUCCUCUCCACCCUAUUGUCCACACUACACCAGAAUGCAUACACAAUGGGCUCCCUCUCUCUCCUAGUCUGCUUUUGUACUCAAAAAGUAAAAGGCAUUAUGUUUUUACUACAAUAUACUGCAAUGUAAAGAAAUUAUGUGCUUCCUGAAAUGCUCUAAAGACAUAUUAAGUAUUUAAAGGUCAUUAGCACGAGUCAAAAUUACUUAAGGCACAGUUAAAAACUAAUAGCAGUUGCCGCUAAUUCUUUUUACCAGUGGAACCAACUGCUCACAUAGCAGGUGAAUGCUAUGUGUUGUUAUUAUGUGUGCAUUGGGAUGAAAUGGCUGUCUCUGUUUAUCUUGCCUGAGGUACACUAUGCUACAGUAGAUGUGAUAACAGUGGGGUUAUUGUAGUAGAGCCCAACCCGUACGUGCUUUGGCCACCGCAUGUAUACUACAAUGGUACGUGUAGUUAUAUGGUGUUGCCAAUCUAAUCCUAAAUUGAGAGAAAACGGUUAUCCCAUUACUUACUUAUGGAAGGUGUUAUUUUAACAGAAAUGUCCAAGCCCCCUUUAAAAGGUGUGGAAAUAAAUCAGUGAAAAGUUAAAAAGAAAAAAGUGUAGCGUCGCUAAAAAGGAAAGUUAAUUAAAAUCAGGCACAGCAAUAUGAUGUCACAGCAAUUUAAGAUAAGAAAGCAAUGUUUGAACUGUGGAAAAUAAAACAAAGCCAACCUCAGAGUGUGACUGAAAAGAGUUAGGAAGGAGGACUUUAACUGCUGUCUGAGCCUGUGUUACCUUACUCAGUCAGUGCUUUUCUUUUUUGCUCAUUGUUACCUAACAUUAUUUGGUUUGCAUCUCCAUAGCCUCAGGACUGUUACUUGUUGACCUAUAACACACUUAUACCAGAUGUUAGACUUCUGUCUACAGUAUGCUUAAUUUGGCUAUCCUCGUCAUUGAUAGGCCUGUCACUCCAAGGCAAGCAUUUUAGUGCUAACGGCAGAUUACCACAUCAUCCUAUAAAUGACUAACCGAAUUUGAAUAGACAUUCAUAGUGCUUAUAUGAAAGAUGGUAAGAGAAGUAUGGGAGAAGAGAAGUAGAGAAGUAUUUCAAAUUCUUAUGCAUCCGUAGGAAGAUGCUUUUACAUGCUCUGUAUGGGAUCGAUCCUCCUAUAUACAAUAUUCUAUGGCAAGUAUAAUUAGAAAGAUUGCUUAUACACUGGCAAAAGCCUUAAGAAGAAAUAAUCAGUGACUUGGAAAAGAGCAAACUAUUGUAACCCCAAGCAUAAUUGCAACAUCCUUGCUGUUUUGUUGUGGGUCACUAUGGACUGAAUUUGCUCAGUGUAGCCAGUACAAAUGGAUAUAGUUGCAGGUGUAAAUAACUGUAGCUCUCAGUAAAUGUUUAUUGGUGUACACUCAUGCCUGGUAGGACACAUUAUGCUUGUAUUUCUAACGAUAUAGAUUUUAUUCUAUGAAUAUAGGCCAGCUUGUAUUCUGUUGAUUUUUUUUUACACACACUCUUUUAGUCACACUUUUACUAUGUAUUUAGACAGACUGCAAUGUUUUGUAAAUAGUGCGCAGUCUCUACUAAGAGUAUUCGUGUCAUAUCAGAAAUCCUCGUAUGAACUAGUUUGAACGAAAAGGGUUUCCCGUUAGUUGCUGCCGUAAAAGACACUGCGAGGCCUGAAGAGUUAAUUUGUCGCUGUUGAUCGCUGCGGUGGGCUGCGAGAUCAUUCGAGAGUGCAUUUUUCAGCAGCCAAUCAGCAGGCAGACUCGACACCGUAUUUAGCCAAUAGGGCGAAUGGAAGGCUCUAUCGAAUUUGAAUGAGACAAGUCUUUCGGCGCCAUUUUCGAGUGAACAGCGAUUGCCUCGACAGCUGCGGGUAGAGGAUGCUGCGAAUGUAGAAAGCUGUUCCGAGACGGGGGGGGGAGAAACCAAGCGCUCAAAAACUGCGCUUUUAGAGAAGGAGUCGUGUUAUUUCAACGGAAACACAGAUGCAGAGUCUCCUUGGCCAAUUUAGGAGAAGACUGAAGACUUUAAUCUGAUUCUGGUGAUCACCUGAACGUCUUUAGGUGGUUUAAAUAAUAGGUAAUGGCUCUGUAUCCAUCCGUAAACAUGUGCUAAGGAUUAGAAGGCCAGAAGAUGAAGACAGCGCAAAUAACACAGAAGCAGAGACUGUUUUGAAUGGAAGGACCGCAGCAGCAGUUCUGGUGAUGUUGUAGCAGCACGGAAUGGUUUGUGGGUUAUACUGAGAUGCAGGCCAUACUGUGCUGCCGCACUAAAGCCUGAAUAUACUACAUAGCUAUCAUCUCACAGUCCCUCCACCAAACAUACUGUUGCAGUGAAAGCUUGAGGUAACAGGUAACGUACUGUCACUUUUGCAUAAAAAGUUGUCUUUACUGACUUGAAUUAAUUUCUCAUAGCCUUUCUUCUCCCCCCCCCAGCUGUGAUUUAAAAAGUUGUUUGGGGCUUCCCCAUUCUCAUUUUCUGGUCGCCUUACUGUAGCAGCACGUAAAUAUUGGAGUUAACACUCUAGCUGAAGUCUCCAGUAUUGAUCGUGCUGCUGAAGCAAAGCGGGCCCACUCACAAUCACAGCAACUAACCACCACUGAGUGUACUCAGACUACUCAGGUGAUGGCAGACAGAGGCUGGCCUUUAGAAAUGUUUACAGGUACAGGUUGACUCACUGAUUCUUACUUAAUGUCUAUUCCAUAUUGUAUUGACAUGUAAAAUAUGUAUACUACAUUUUAUUACACUUCACUAUUAUGUGUAAACCUUUUGAGAAUAAAAACGUUUUAAUUCGG